UUUGGGGAUCGCUAAUACAAGUCCCGAGUGCGCACCAUGAUCCAUAUAGCAGAUGGCAUGCUAUCAGUACUGGGAGAAAGUCUCAGGCCAAUGUCACUUACAGUUAAAGAAAGCAUUGAAGUCCUCGUCACUAUCAAAAUCAAAGCGAGAAUAUUCACAGCUGGGAUUAUCUGUCUUGGAAGGAAAGCCCAUCUGGAAAGAAAAA